CCUACGGGUGGCAGCAGUGAGGAAUAUUGGUCAAUGGACGAGAGUCUGAACCAGCCAAGUAGCGUGAAGGAUGACUGCCCUAUGGGUUGUACACUUCUUUUAUAAAGGAAUAAAACGAGGCACGUGUGCAUUUUUGCAUGUACUUUAUGAAUAAGGAUCGGCUAACUCAGUGCCAGCAGCCGCGAUAAUACGGAGGAUCCGAGCGUUAUCCGGAUUUAUUGGGGUUAAAGGUAGCGUAGAUGGGUUUUUAAGUCAGUUGUGAAAGCUUGCGGCUCAACCGUAAAAUUGCAAUUGAUACUGGCAGUCUUGAGUACAGUUGAGGUAGGCGGAAUUCGUGGUGUAGCGGUGAAAUGCUUAGAUAUCACGAAGAACCCCGAUGGCGAAGGCAGCUUACUAAACUGUGACUGACAUUGAUGCUCGAAAGUGUGGGUAUCAAACAGGAUUAGAUACCCUUGUAGUC
rnacentral:rRNA from 1 species